GGCACUAUGGCCGAGUGGUUAAGGCGACAGAUUUGAAUGUCCAGCUGCUGCCCAAGCAUCAGUUCCGAUUCAUUAUCUGUUGGGAUUUUCCCACGCAGGUUCGAGUCCUGUUGGUGUCG